GGGUCUUAAAUGACAACCCAAAACGACCAACACCAUACAUGCAUAGUAAUGGGACUUUUGGGACAAAAAGAACAUUGUAAAGCUACAAAAAUGAGAUCCAAGCAAAUAAAGCAUAAAGGUAACAACUUUUUACCUUCUAGAGCUUCCCAAGAAGGUACUGAUCCAAGAUCGAAAAGAUUGCUUUAACUACUAAUCUCCUUAAUGCAACUCCUUCUUCACUAAGAACCCAAAGAACACACUAUUAGUUGAAGACACUCUCUUAUGGGGUUAGGGUUUGCUAAAAACAACUCACGGGCUAGGAGGUUGAAAAGAUGAGGCUAAAAGAUACAUAAAGGUGCUUAAAUACCCCACAAACCCUAAAACUUAGGGUUUCUUUCGGACAAAAGUACGCCUAGCAUACACAUGUGGCUGAUUCAUCUUCAAAUUGAAUAAAGUUAUUAGUGUGUGACCUUCCAACAUGUUCAAAUUAAUAUAUGGUAUUGAAAUAAAAUAACACAUGAUGGUGUUAUACAUAUAGAUACUCAAAAAUCAAGGUAAGGAACCAAAAAUAAACGUAUUGUUUGCCAUUGUUCAUUAGCUUUGUGUAACUCUUCCUCAGAACUCACCUAAACCUCCCACCAUGCAAUUGCAAAGAAUCUAACCAUCAACCACAAAACCCUAAAUAUGUCAGUCAAUUUCAAUUACAUAUGAAUUCCAAAAAAAAAAAUUAUCUCUAAAAAUUGAGCUCGAUAGAAAAUUUAUUAAAUUAAAGCGAAGAAAUAAACACACCUUAGGAUCAUAGAGACAUCAACAAUCGCUUCAAUUGAGACGAUGCUAAAUGUUUCGGCAUCAGAGAAACUUAGGAUGAAGUCAACAUGAACACACCUUCAAAAAGCCGUUGUAAUUUCGGGUCUUCAAGGUUCAAAAAAGACGAUACUUCCCUGGUCUUCUUCUCCACAUGUGUCGAUGGGUGUGGGGAUUCGCAAUUUCAGAGGAUUUGCAUUUGAUAUAAAGAAAGAGAGGGGAGAGCGAUG
rnacentral:lncRNA from 1 species